rnacentral:rRNA from 1 species
GAUGAACGCUGGCGGCGUGCCUAAUACAUGCAAGUCGAGCGAACGGACGAGAAGCUUGCUUUUCUGAUGUUAGCGGCGGACGGGUGAGUAACACGUGGAUAACCUACCUAUAAGACUGGGAUAACUUCGGGAAACCGGAGCUAAUACCGGAUAAUAUUUUGAACCGCAUGGUUCAAAAGUGAAAGACGGUCUUGCUGUCACUUAUAGAUGGAUCCGCGCUGCAUUAGCUAGUUGGUAAGGUAACGGCUUACCAAGGCAACGAUGCAUAGCCGACCUGAGAGGGUGGUCGGCCACACUGGAACUGAGACACGGUCCAGACUCCUACGGGAGGCAGCAGUAGGGAAUCUUCCGCAAUGGGCGAAAGCCUGACGGAGCAACGCCGCGUGAGUGAUGAAGGUCUUCGGAUCGUAAAACUCUGUUAUUAGGGAAGAACAUAUGUGUAAGUAACUGUGCACAUCUUGACGGUACCUAAUCAGAAAGACACGGCUAACUACGUG